ACAGCAGUCAGCAGACAUCAGCAGACCGCCGGCCGACCGCCCCACAGGCGACCUUUCCGGCAGAGAAUCAACGCUCGCUGGUUUGCUAAACUCAUUGUCUGUCAGAGAUGGGACGUCCGGAAGGGGUCACGAUCGGAUGACAACACACGUCGAGAAGAUGACAACGACGAGCAGCGUCAGGAACGGGACAUCAGAGUAGAUUGGUUCAAGUGAUGUUGGAAAGAAUGGGAUCAGAUAGAUAGAUGUAAGACUGGAAUGAGAAGAAGGAUGACAAUUAGGAGAAUUGAACUGAUCCAACUAAGAGACCUAGGAUAGAACUAGUUUGAUCUAUCUAAAACAUUUUUUUUCUAUACUUACAUAUAAGAGAUACUAAAAAUUGAGGGGGGGCCACGGCCCCCUUUGCCCCCCACGUGGAUCCGCCACUGUUGCCGAGGAAGAAGACUGACGAGGCGAAGUCACUGAUUAGAGUGUUGGUGGCCCUUGGCUUUGAUUGUGAUCAAAUAGAGGCAAAUGGUUGAGGUUUGGAGAUGCUGGUUUGUUAGGUUAUGGUUAGCUUCUUAAACUUCCAACCUCUGGUGUAUGUGUGAUGUGAACUGAAUCACAAUAAUGUCUGGUUGUGGUUUCAUUAAUGCUUACAUGUGGUGAAUUGGACCUGACUCCAUGGUCUGUGACUCUGUGUUGCAGUGAAGUCUGCUAUGGAGAACAUUUGUAAAUGUGGGGUCAAUCAGUAUGUUCAAAAAGUCUGUAAAGAAAUUAUGUUUAAUCUGUAACUGGUUACCAUUUUAGUUCAAUACAAUAUUAUAAUCCCCAUGUG
rnacentral:lncRNA from 7 species